rnacentral:rRNA from 1 species
AAAGGAAUAGACGGGGGCCCGCACAAGCGGUGGAGCAUGUGGUUUAAUUCGAUGCAACGCGAAGAACCUUACCUACCCUUGACAUACAGCGAAUCUUUCAGAGAUGAGAGAGUGCCUUCGGGAACGCUGAUACAGGUGCUGCAUGGCUGUCGUCAGCUCGUGUCGUGAGAUGUUGGGUUAAGUCCCGUAACGAGCGCAACCCUUAUCCUUAGUUACCAGCGAAUAAAGUCGGGGACUCUAGGGAGACUGCCGGUGACAAGCCGGAGGAAGGCGGGGACGACGUCAAGUCAUCAUGGCCCUUACGGGUAGGGCUACACACGUGCUACAAUGGCCGGUACAGAGGGCAGCGAAGUGGCGACACGGAGCAAAUCUUUUAAAGCUGGUCGUAGUCCGGAUUGAAGUCUGCAACUCGACUUCAUGAAGUCGGAAUCGCUAGUAAUCGCGAAUCAGCAUGUCGCGGUGAAUACGUUCCCGGGCCUUGCACACACCGCCCGU